UAGGGAAUCUUCCACAAUGGGCGAAAGCCUGAUGGGAGCAACGCCGCGUGUGUGAUGAAGGGUUUCGGGCUCGUAAAACACUGUUGUAAGAGAAGAAUGACAUUGAGAGUAACUGUUCAAUGUGUGACGGUAUCUUACCAGAAAGGAACGGCUAAAUACGUACCAG
rnacentral:rRNA from 1 species